rnacentral:rRNA from 1 species
UACGAAGGGGGCUAGCGUUGUUCGGAAUUACUGGGCGUAAAGGGCGCGUAGGCGGCCUGCUAAGUCGGAUGUGAAAUCCCUCGGCUCAACCGAGGAACUGCAUCCGAUACUGGCGGGCUUGAAUCCGGGAGAGGGAUGUGGAAUUCCAGGUGUAGCGGUGAAAUGCGUAGAUAUCAAGGAAGAACCACCCGUGGCGGAAGGCGGCUCUC